CUCCGCUUUCACUGACUAACGCCGUUAGAAAGAGGCAACAAUCGUAGUGAGAACAACAGCAAGGACAGCAAGAAUCGCAAGCUGGGAACGGUGUAGUAUGCCUGAGGCCAAGCUGCAUCGGUGCCGCACGCUUUGUAUAUCAAGCCUUCGUCAGUGCUCGGGUAAAUUUGUCCACCGCAGCUUUGGUAGAGAGAGCAAGAAAUGGCGUCGAAGACGUGGUCACUCUAUUCUACAUGGAUUCUCUUAGCGGUUAUCGUCGCCAUGAGCACUGUUGGUGCAAAAGAGUCCAAGUUACUUAUUCCGUCAUGGCCAAAAUGUAAACAGGGAGAAUCCUCAGGAUGUGUGAGUCCUCCCGGUGGUUCGUGCAGCGAGGACACAUGCAACGUAAAAAAGCUCAAGACGUUUUGCUUCUUAAGUUGUGUAAUGGGCUGCGUGUGUAACAAAGGCCUGUAUCGUCGCUUGUCGGACCGGAAGUGCGUUCCCCAAAGUGAAUGCAAUGCCUAAUCUCACCGACAAUGACGUCAUGUGGAUACGGCGCUGCAAUAAACGACAGCAGCUGCAUAUUCCAAAUCUUUCCCGACGCCACAUAAUUCCAGAGCCACGAUCUUGAAGAAGUCACGUCGAAAGGACAGUUUGGCUCUCAUCUGAGCGUUUUAAAAUAUGGGCGAAAAUGAAACUAAUAAAGCAUUCUCUUCAUUA